GUCUACGGCCAUCCCACCCUGAAUUUGCCCGAUCAUAUCUGAUCUCGGAAGCUAAGCAGGGUCAGGCCUGGUUAGUACUUGGAUGGGAGACCCCCUUAGGAAGAUCAGGUGCUGUAGGUG
ensembl:rRNA 5S_rRNA 5S ribosomal RNA